CGCNGGCGGCGUGCUUAACACAUGCAAGUCGAACGAACCUUCGGGUUAGUGGCGGACGGGUGAGUAACGCGUGGGAAUCUGCCCUCAGGAGGGGGAUAACGGUUGGAAACGACCGCUAAUACCCCAUAUGCCGAGAGGUGAAAUGAAUUUCGCCUGAGGAUGAGCCCGCGUCUGAUUAGCUUGUUGGUGAGGUAAUGGCUCACCAAGGCUUCGAUCAGUAGCUGGUCUGAGAGGAUGAUCAGCCACACUGGGACUGAGACACGGCCCAGACUCCUACGGGAGGCAGCAGUGGGGAAUUUUCCGCAAUGGGCGAAAGCCUGACGGAGCAACGCCGCGUGAGGGAUGAAGGCCUCUGGGCUGUAAACCUCUUUUCUCAAGGAAGAAGAUAUGACGGUACUUGAGGAAUAAGCCACGGCUAAUUCCGUGCCAGCAGCCGCGGUAAUACGGGAGUGGCAAGCGUUAUCCGGAAUUAUUGGGCGUAAAGCGUCCGCAGGCGGCCUUUCAAGUCUGCUGUAAAAACGUGGAGCUUAACUCCAUCAUCGCAGUGGAAACUGUUGGGCUUGAGUGUGGUAGGGGCAGAGGGAAUUCCCGGUGUAGCGGUGAAAUGCGUAGAUAUCGGGAAGAACACCAGUGGCGAAGGCGCUCUGCUGGGCCAUAACUGACGCUCAUGGACGAAAGCCAGGGGAGCGAAAGGGAUUAGAUACCCCUGUAGUCCUGGCCGUAAACGAUGAACACUAGGUGUCGGGGGAAUCGACCCCCUCGGUGUCGUAGCU
rnacentral:rRNA from 1 species